UAGUAAAUACAGCUAGCUUGUUUAGCCUACUGAAACACCCUGCUCAAACAGAGGGAUGCUAGGUUAGCUAGCUGGCUAUGACUAUGCCACACAACACUGGUACUCUUCCAAGUCAAGCAUCAGUAGAACACGCCUGACUCUCCUCCACCAGUCAUACAAGGAUAAUGGUCUAAUGCCUCCCAUCAAAAAGAGAGCUAGCCCAAGCAAGCACAGGUUACACCUGAAGUAUGAGGACUUGUAGCAAGUGGUGAACUUCGUCAACAACUACGCAGUGGAUAAUGCAAUAGUAUUGCCACGAUGCCACCCAGGACACAAACACUUUGGUGGAAAGCUGCUGCCAUCCCAUGUGACAAAGCAGCAGUCUGGUGUCUCCACAAGGAAUUGAUGACAACACUUGAGGUAUGUGUAUUUGGGCUGUUUUCAUUCAGGAAUCUGUGGAGAGAAUUGCUACCCCACAUCUUAAGCACUAAGCCCAGGACAGACCUGUACUGGCAGUGCCAGAUGAUCAACUAUUAGGUCUUCAGAUCUGCCAAUCUGCCAGAAGCUGUUAAAUCAGCCAAGCUGAAGAAUCAACAGCAGCAUCUCCUGCUUGUUCAGAGUGAGAGGUCUGUCUACCAGAAGAUGGUGGCCUGCAGUUGUCUCUGGGGGCCCCUACUGAACCAGCAAGCAAAGACAUCGGGAUGCAUUACAGUUUGAUUUUUGUAUAUAUAUAUUAGUAGAACACGUAGAAGUAAGAACCCAGUAGAACACACAUAUAUAUGUAUAUAUAUAUAUAUAUAUAUAUAUAUAUAUAUCUAUCACACACACACACACACACACAG